ensembl:snoRNA SNORA70 Small nucleolar RNA SNORA70
CCACAGAAAAACACCUUCAGGCUCUGGCGCUAGGACAGGAAGUAAGACCUGUGAAAGUUGCAAACAGCAACCUCCUUGGUAGUGUACGCAGCCUGUUACCUGUAUGGGUUGCCCUAAGGGACCUUGGAGACAAUU